AACGAACGCUGGCGGCAUGCCUAACACAUGCAAGUCGAACGAGAUCUUCGGGUCUAGUGGCGCACGGGCGCGUAACGCGUGGGAAUCUGCCCUUUGGUUCGGAAUAACAGUUGGAAACGACUGCUAAUACCGGAUGAUGACGAAAGUCCAAAGAUUUAUCGCCAGAGGAUGAGCCCGCGUAGGAUUAGCUAGUUGGUGUGGUAAAGGCGCACCAAGGCGACGAUCCUUAGCUGGUCUGAGAGGAUGAUCAGCCACACUGGGACUGAGACACGGCCCAGACUCCUACGGGAGGCAGCAGUGGGGAAUAUUGGACAACGGGCGAAAGCCUGAUCCAGCAAUGCCGCGUGAGUGAUGAAGGCCUUAGGGUUGUAAAGCUCUUUUACCCGGGAUGAUAAUGACAGUACCGGGAGAAUAAGCUCCGGCUAACUCCGUGCCAGCCGCCGCGGUAA
rnacentral:rRNA from 1 species